rnacentral:misc_RNA from 1 species
AACGCACGAGACCUGCGGACCUGCGGAGGGAUCAUUAGUGAACGCCCUCGCGGGCUUAUAACUAUUCCAAACCUCUGUGAACCGUGCCCUUCGGGGCUAUUUUACAAACAUGGUGUAAUGAACGUCAUAUAUCAUAACAAAACAAAACUUUUAACAAUGGAUCUCU